GACAUAGUAGCAGCUUCUGGUUUUGAGGAUGAACAGGAGGACACCAGACAGAAAGUGUUUGUCUCCCAGACGCAGUGGGCCACACCUGGACAGGAUGCUAAGCCUGGAUGCAGCUGACUCACCACAGGCCCGACGCCACUCCCCGCCCCACUAGUGUCGCCAACUCCGGAGGACAAGCCGCUGAUUUCAGGGUGCCCAUUAGAAUGGAAGGCCCUUGAAAAAUCCCCAAGCAGGCAAAAGAGCAUUGUAAGCAAAGCAACCCCACACUCCGUCUCUUCCUCCUCUCCAGAGAAAACUUCAGGGAAACAAGACGCUGCAGCUAGCACAGUGCCUGGCCUAGUAAAUGUUUGUUGAAUGAAUUAAUUAAUGAAUGCCUAAACAAACACCCUCAUGCCAAGACUUUCUGGGCACACGCGGUCAUUUCCCAUCAGAGUCAGUUCCCAGCUGCCGACCAGUCAACAACAUCUAAUCAGAGCCAUGGAUGUCCUGCAAGUCACUUGCUUUGCAACUAUCUCCAAAAUAGGUUAUCCUGACCGUCAUCUUCUGGGGGCUGCUGUAAACUAGAUUUCUCUUAGAAAUCAAUCAAGG
rnacentral:lncRNA from 1 species